ensembl:lncRNA
ACCUCAGGUAGGCCCUCCGCACCAGCCAAUCCGAAAGAAGCCUGGGUGCGGAAGGCGGUGCUUUCCCGACCGGAAGUGACGUCUAUGCUUGGCUGGCCGCGGUGUCCGCCGAAGCUCUCGGCAGCGGCUGAGGCGACUGAGUGGAAAAUGGCUCGGAUUUUUGCGGCUGUGGCGCCUUGGGUUGUGGUGGAGGCAGAGGCUCAGGCAGCGUGAGGGGGAUUCUUUACCGUCUGAGCUACCAGGAAAACCCAAGAAUACUGGAGUGGGUAGCUGUUCCUGUCUCCAGGAGAUCUUCGCAACCCAGGGAUCGAACCUAGGUCUCCUGCAUUACAGGAGUUAUUUAAUCCAGGAUUUGAAUCCUUGGAUGCUCAGUCACUCAGUCGUUGUCCUGCUGUUUGCCACCCCAUGGACUAUAUAGCCAGCCAGGCUCCUCUGUCCCUGGAAUUUUCCAGCACCUAGAACAGUGCCUGGUGUUGAACAUACACCUGCUGCUACUGCUGCUGCUGCUAAGUCGCUUCAGUCGUGUCCGACUCUGUGUGACCCCAUAGACGGCAGCCCACCAGGCUCCCCUAUCCCUGGGAUUCUCCAGGCAAGAACACUGGAGUGGGUUGCCAUUUCCUUCUCCAGUGCAUGAAAGUGAAAAGUGAAAGUGAAGUCGCUCAGUCAUGUCCGACCCUCAGCGACCGCAUGGACUGCAGCCUACCAGGCUCCUCCAUCCAUGGGAUUUUCCAGGCAAGAGUACUGGAGUGGGGUGCCAUUGCGUUCUCCUAACAUACACCUAGUGAAUAUUUAUUGAAAAGAUGAAUAAAUUCAGUGGUGCUUGAAUGACAAAUAAAAGUUAUUUU